AGACCCGAAACCCGGUGAUCUAGCCAUGGGCAGGUUGAAGGUUGGGUAACACUAACUGGAGGACCGAACCGACUAAUGUUGAAAAAUUAGCGGAUGACCUGUGGCUGGGGGUGAAAGGCCAAUCAAACCGGGAGAUAGCUGGUUCUCCCCGAAAGCUAUUUAGGUAGCGCCUCGUGAAUUCAUCUCCGGGGGUAGAGCACUGUUUCGGCUAGGGGGCCAUCCCGGCUUACCAACCCGAUGCAAACUGCGAAUACCGGAGAAUGUUAUCACGGGAGACACACGGCGGGUGCUAACGUCCGUCGUGAAGAGGGAAACAACCCAGACCGCCAGCUAAGGUCCCAAAGUCAUGGUUAAGUGGGAAACGAUGUGGGAAGGCCCAGACAGCCAGGAUGUUGGCUUAGAAGCAGCCAUCAUUUAAAGAAAGCGUAAUAGCUCACUGGUCGAGUCGGCCUGCGCGGAAGAUGUAACGGGGCUAAACCAUGCACCGAAGCUGCGGCAGCGAACGUAUCACCCAAGACAACUUUACGGAGUUGACGAUUGACGGAGCGAAGCGACGUCAAAGCGUUCAUUAAAGUCGAGUUGGCUUAGGGAUACGUUCGUUGGGUAGGGGAGCGUUCUGUAAGCCUGUGAAGGUGUGUCGUGAGGCAUGCUGGAGGUAUCAGAAGUGCGAAUGCUGACAUAAGUAACGAUAAAGCGGGUGAAAAGCCCGCUCGCCGGAAGACCAAGGGUUCCUGUCCAACGUUAAUCGGGGCAGGGUGAGUCGACCCCUAAGGCGAGGCCGAAAGGCGUAGUCGAUGGGAAACGGGUUAAUAUUCCCGUACUUGGUGUUACUGCGAAGGGGGGACGGAGAAGGCUAUGUUGGCCGGGCGACGGUUGUCCC
rnacentral:rRNA from 2 species